rnacentral:tRNA from 1 species
GGAGAGGUGGCCGAGUGGCUGAAGGCGCUUCCCUGCUAAGGAAGUAUGCGGUAACCCCGUAUCGAGGGUUCGAAUCCCUCCCUCUCCG